CAUAACGUCGCAUGUGUCAUAACGUCGCAUGUGUCAUAAUGUUGCAUGUGUCAUAAUGUUGCAUGUGUCAUAACGUCGCAUGUGUCAUAACGUUGCAUGUGUCAUAAUGUUGCAUGUGUCAUAACGUCGCAUGUGUCAUAAUGUUGCAUGUGUCAUAAUGUUGCAUGUGUCAUAAUGUUGCAUGUGUCAUAACGUUGCAUGUGUCAUAAUGUUGCAUGUGUCAUAAUGUUGCAUGUGUCAUAGUGUUGCAUGUGUCAUAAUGUUGCAUGUGUCAUAGUGUUGCAUGUGUCAUAAUGUUGCAUGUGUCAUAAUGUUGCAUGUGUCAUAACGUUGCAUGUGUCAUAACGUCGCAUGUGUCAUAACGUUGCAUGUGUCAUAACGUCGCAUGUGUCAUAACGUCGCAUGUGUCAUAACGUUGCAUGUGUCAUAACGUCGCAUGUGUCAUAACGUCGCAUGUGUCAUAGUGUGAGUGAUCGUCAUGCACGCAUAACCCGAUUGGUUGUUAUUUAGUUACAGACGAUGCACUAGUUUAAUUUGCUCAGAUUUUGGCUUUAAAAACAGUGUAUGUCUACAAUGAUAUUAGCCAACCUAUAUAAAAUGUGAUUUAGUUAUCUAUAAUCCACGCAUCUUUCUCAGGAGAUUGAUAGGCGAUAACUGGUGUUUUAUCUUUUUCAGAUAGCUGUUACAUAUCACUGCCUUCAAGAUAAAAUGUUAUAUGAAAUUCAUCACGAUAUUUGAGGAGGAAAAGUGUGUGGCGAAUUACUCUGCCAAAGGAUGAUGAUUUGCAUUUGAUGCAGCCACCUCAACUCCGUCCAUACAGGUGAAACUUUUUUGUGUGCAGGUGUUCACCAAUGGAAACAUGGAUUGGCGUGCCGGGGGUUUCUGCAACGUUUUGACUAUGUGGGUGGUUGUGGAGAAAACAUCUAUUGCAGAUUAAGCGGAUGGGUGAAAAUCUACGGAUAUCUUGCUUUUUAUAUACAAUGUCAACAAUGUUUUGAAGCAAUAAAAACACAAAUAAAACAAAUAACAGAAUAGGCUAACUCAUUCUUAG
ensembl:lncRNA